CACGUAGGGGGCGAGCGUUAUUCGGAAUUAUUGGGCGUAAAGGGCGCGUAGGCGGCUAGACAAGUCAGGGGUGAAAUCCCUCGGCUCAACACAGGAACUGCCUUUGAAACUGUCUGGCUUGAGGACGGGAGAGGGUGGUGGAAUUCCCAGUGUAGCGGUGAAAUGCGUAGAUAUUGGGAGGAACACCAGUGGCGAAGGCGGCUCGCUGGACUGUUUCUGACGCUGAUACGCGAAAGCGUGGGUAGCAAACAGG
rnacentral:rRNA from 1 species